rnacentral:rRNA from 1 species
GACGAACGCUGGCGGCGUGCCUAAUACAUGCAAGUCGAGCGAAUGACGAGAAGCUUGCUUCUCUGAUUUAGCGGCGGACGGGUGAGUAACACGUGGGCAACCUGCCCUACAGAUCGGGAUAACUCAGGGAAACCUGGGCUGAUACCGGAUAAUCCUUCGAAUCACAUGUUUUGAAGUUGAAAGGCGCUUCGGCGUCACUGUAGGAUGGGCCCGCGGUGCAUUAGCUAGUUGGUCGGGUAACGGCCUACCAAGGCAACGAUGCAUAGCCGACCUGAGAGGGUGAUCGGCCACAUUGGGACUGAGACACGGCCCAAACUCCUACGGGAGGCAGCAGUAGGGAAUCUUCCACAAUGGACGAAAGUCUGAUGGAGCAACGCCGCGUGAGUGAUGAAGGUUUUCGGAUCGUAAAACUCUGUUGUAAGGGAAGAACAAGUACGUUAGGAAAUGAACGUACCUUGACGGUACCUUAUUAGAAAGCCACGGCUAACUACGUGCCAGCAGCCGCCGUAA